rnacentral:tRNA from 1 species
GAAAGUGAAGUAAUUAUACAUUUCAGUUACAUUGAAAAGAUCUCACUAUGAGCACUUUCU